UCCCAACAGGUCUGGGUAGAUGUCCAAAAGGAUUAUAAUGAACAUUUAAGAUGAAAACGGGACAUAAAAAUGAGGAUAGAAACGACUUGGGGACUUAUACAAGUCAAUGCCUCUAAGGGAACAUUUUCCGAGUUCAUAUCAAAUAUAUUUUGUUUCAAACUAUCAAAGCACGUGAUUACUAUACUCUAAGGGAACUUAUUCGUGGGCCUCUGACCCUUUCAGCUAUUAUAUAGAACAAGUGUUGGGACCUUUGAAACAUUCCAAUCGAACUUCCCAUAGAAGUUACUAAUCUUAUUCUUUCUACCAUUCACUAAAAACAAUCAGGACUGCUUCUACUGGAACUUGAAGGAAUGGAUCCUUUAGCACAAAACACCUAUCAAUACAGUCACCAGUGGAUCUAGAAAGGCAAUUGCCUCAAUAAGCAUAAAUUCUUCCUUUGGCUCCUACUCCAUGAUCGACUGCCUACUCGCAGUAUGCUCCACCAAAGAAACAUAACAGCUAUAAGAUCCCCAUUGCUCGCACUACAAUACUACUGUUACUUUCCAUAUAUACAAAACUUGUCACGUGUGGUCUGUCUUCUCC
rnacentral:lncRNA from 1 species